UCUAAUAUGGCAGAUUAGUGCAGUAGACUUAAGCUCUUCAUAUAAAGAAUUUCCUUUUAUUAGAA
rnacentral:tRNA from 1 species